UCGUAACAAGGUUUCCGUAGGUGAACCUGCGGAAGGAUCAUUACCGAGUGAGGGCCCUCUGGGUCCAACCUCCCACCCGUGUUUAUCGUACCUUGUUGCUUCGGCGGGCCCGCCUCACGGCCGCCGGGGGGCAUCCGCCCCCGGGCCCGCGCCCGCCGAAGACACACAAACGAACUCUUGUCUGAAGAUUGCAGUCUGAGUACUUGACUAAAUCAGUUAAAACUUUCAACAACGGAUCUCUUGGUUCCGGCAUCGAUGAAGAACGCAGCGAAAUGCGAUAAGUAAUGUGAAUUGCAGAAUUCAGUGAAUCAUCGAGUCUUUGAACGCACAUUGCGCCCCCUGGUAUUCCGGGGGGCAUGCCUGUCCGAGCGUCAUUGCUGCCCUCAAGCACGGCUUGUGUGUUGGGCUCUCGCCCCCCGCUUCCGGGGGGCGGGCCCGAAAGGCAGCGGCGGCACCGCGUCCGGUCCUCGAGCGUAUGGGGCUUCGUCACCCGCUCUGUAGGCCCGGCCGGCGCCCGCCGGCGAACACCAUCAAUCUUAACCAGGUUGACCUC
rnacentral:rRNA from 1 species